rnacentral:rRNA from 1 species
UACGUAGGGUCCGAGCGUUGUCCGGAAUUACUGGGCGUAAAGAGCUCGUAGGUGGUUUGUCGCGUUGUUCGUGAAAACUCACAGCUCAACUGUGGGCGUGCGGGCGAUACGGGCAGACUGGAGUACUGCAGGGGAGACUGGAAUUCCUGGUGUAGCGGUGGAAUGCGCAGAUAUCAGGAGGAACACCAAUGGCGAAGGCAGCUCGCUGGGACGUGACUGACACUGAGGCGCGAAAGCGUGGGGAGCGAACAGG